rnacentral:lncRNA from 1 species
GAUGAUGAAGAAGAAGUAGUAGUAGUACUAGUAGUAGUAGUAGGAGUAGAAGAAGAAGAAGAAGACUAGAAGAAGAAGAAGAAGAAGCAUAAGAAGACUAGAAGAAAAAGAAGAAGAUGAUGAAGAAGAAGAAGUAGUAGUAGUUGUAGUAGUAGUAGUAGUAGUAGUAGUAGUAGUAGUAGUAGUAGUAGUAGUAGUAGUAGUAGUAGUAGUAGAAGUAGUGGUGGUGGUGGUGGUGGUGGUAGUAGUAGUAGAAGAAGAACAAGAAUAA